GACGAACGCUGGCGGCGUGCCUAAUACAUGCAAGUCGAGCGGAUGGAAGGAAGCUUGCUUCCUAAAGUCAGCGGCGGACGUGUGAGUAACACGUGGGCAACCUGCCCCUAAGAUCGGGAUAACUUCGGGAAACCGGAGCUAAUACCGGAUAUGAUUAUGUCUCACAUGAGACAUAAUGGAAAGACGGUUUCGGCUGUCACUUAGGGAUGGGCCCGCGGCGCAUUAGCUAGUUGGUGAGGUAACGGCUCACCAAGGCGACGAUGCGUAGCCGACCUGAGAGGGUGAUCGGCCACACUGGGACUGAGACACGGCCCAGACUCCUACGGGAGGCAGCAGUAGGGAAUCUUCCGCAAUGGACGAAAGUCUGACGGAGCAACGCCGCGUGAGUGAAGAAGGUUUUCGGAUCGUAAAACUCUGUUGUUAGGGGAGAACAAGUACCAUAGUAACUGAUGGUACCUUGACGGUACCUAACCAGAAAGCCACGGCUAACUACGUGCCAGCCGCCGCAGUAACAC
rnacentral:rRNA from 1 species